ACUAAUAUAUUUCUUCCGAAACUCUUCUUGAAAGAAUUCCCAGGUUACCCUUUCGUUCGGUACCACCGAAAUCAAAGUCUUCCACCAAUUAUAGGCUGAAUCUCUCAACAAAGAUGUAGCACAUUUCAAACAUUUUUCAGGUGUACAAGAUAAUUCAUCAAAUACCCAGACAGAAUUUUCAAGCUAGAACUCUGCUUUCUCUGCAUCAUCAUCAAUAUUUGCUCUAAAUUCUUCAGCCCCUUGUUUACGAAUUCUAUCAACGGGGGUUCUAUGAAAUUUUAUCAUAUCCACUCCUUGAGGCAUCGGAGGCAUAGGUUGAGGAAUUGGGGGAGGUGGGGGAGGUCGUAAAUUUAGGUUCGUACGAAUGAACUUAGUGUACCAUGCACUCAUCAUUUGGAGAAAGGCUUCCUGAUCCCUUUCUCCUCCUCCCUUACCAACAGUAGGGGGCGGGUUUUUAGUCGGCGCUGCCCCUUCAGCCGGAGCUGGCACAUUACUUUCUACUUCAUCUGCCACAGCUGGAUCGGGAUCCAUUUACUAGGUAAAAAUCAUUUGAAAAUGUCAGAAGUCGUCACACUAUCACAAUUCACACAUAUGACAUGUAUAGCAAAAUCCGUACAUACAACACGUAGUCCGAGAACUGACUAAACCUGCUCUGAUACCACUAAAUGUAACGCCCCCACGCCCGAGACCAUCGCCGGAGUCGAGCUUGAGGGGUUACCGAACAAUAUUUAUCAAAUUAAGAACUUCAAAUCAUUUAUUUCUACAUUCACAGCUUUCUAACUACCCGCAUCACAGUUACAAGAAAAAUCAUAUCUCGAAUUAUGAAACUCAAAAUCUAGAUCCGUAAAUUUUACCUAAAUCUCGACUAAUAUAUCUAUUUACUAAAUUUUUUCUAGAAUUUUUGGUUGGACCAAUUAGUACAGUUUAUUAGUUAAACUGUCCCCUAUUUCAGGGUUCGACUACUCUGACCUCUGUGUAUUACGAAUCAGAUAUUUCUCUAUACAGAAAUUAAAUGACUAUGAGGUUUGUUUCUGUUAAAACUAGACUCAAUAAAGAACCUGUAAAUAUAAAGAGCAACUUCUAAUUAUUUUUGUAAAAUUUAUUAUGAAUUUUUAAAUUCAGAAUAGGGGAUCCAAAAAUCACUCUGGCCCUGUUUCACAAAAGUUUAUAUAUCUCAUAAAAUAUAAUUUAUAUGCCUGUUUUGUUCAAUCCACAUGAAAAUAGACUCAUUAAGAUUCAAUUUCAUAACUUACUCAUCAUUUAGUUCCAUUUAUACUAUUUUUAAUGAUUUUUCAAAUUCAUGUCAUUGCUGUAGCAAUAUUCUGUUUUAAGGCAAGUUUCAUCUUUCCAUGAAUUUUUAUGAACUAGAUAACCUAUUAAACUUCCAUAAUAUCAAACAUGAUCUAAAUUAGCCAUCACCAUGACUUAUCAAUAUCAAACAUUUUCUCAACCAAACAUGGCCAUAUCAUAAAAUUAUUUACACAAAAUAAGUAUAUUGCUAUACAUGCCAUACUUAAGUUUUACAAGCCAUUUACCCAGAUGAAAGUACUUUGGAUAGUGUGAUCGAACCUUCGACCCUUCCCGAUUCCCGAGCUGGCUUGUUCAAAACUACAGUAAAUAAAGAGGAGGGAGUAAGCAUAAAUGCUUAGUAAGUUCAUAUGCAAAUAACAAGUAACAUAACAAUACAAAUAUACCCAACAACUUUAGCAUGGUAUCACUAAAACAUAUAUCACAUUUCUAAACAUCAUUCCUCAUCUUACCACCUUAUCAUUGUUGUAUCUAUUUUCAACCCGAGGGUUAAGAACAUACCUGUCCAAAGUGUCCAUUUCACAACACUUACCAAAAUGUCACUUGCAUCUUAAGUGUUCUUCCAUUUCACUAGAAAUUUCACCCGUUGAACACAUCGGAAUACAACUCGGAUACACGGAUAAUUUGCACAUAAGUGCUUCAUAUGUAAUCAAGCUACCAUGUAACCCGCCCAUAAGUGAACUCGGACUCAACUCAAUGAGCUCAGGCGUUCGCAUCCAUAAGUGAACUCAGACUCUACUCAACGAGUUCGGAUGCCUAGUUACAUUUCACGAACUCGGACUCAACUCAACGAGUUCGGACAUUCGCAUCCAUAAGUGAACUCGAACUCAACUCAACGAGUUCGGAUGCUCAACCAUCCUAGUGACAUGUCACUUGUAUCCUAAUCUAUUCCUAAGGUUCAAACGGGUGUUUUCCUCGAUCACACAUCUUUGCCGUCUUCCACGGAAUAUCGAAAUCGGUACUUCGGUGAUAGUUCAUACUCAUCAAGUAAUUCACACAAUUACAUAUUAUUCAACAAUAACCACAAAGCAUAAUACUUCAUGAUAAUAAUCAGCAUCAUAUCAUAUAAACAACAUUAAAUUGCUUAAAAUGACAAUUAUGUUACUACAUUUACACAUGAACUUACCUUGGUACCAAAAUAUAAAGAUUUUGCAAUUUAGUCCAUAAUCUUUUCUUUUCCUCGAUCGCGACUUGAAUCUCGUUUUUCUUGAUCUAUAAUACCAAAUUAAUCUUAUUUAAUACAUACAUUCAUCAAAACAUCAUUUAAUACGAACUUUGGAAAAAUUCCACUUUUGCCCCUAAACUUUUGCAUAAUUACACUUUUGCCCUUAGGCUCGGGAAUUAAACUUUAUUCCUUAUUCUUAUGUUUUAUAACAUGCUGAUCAUUUUUCCCUUCUAUGGCAACAUCAAAUUCUCUCUCUAACAUAUACUUGUGACUAUUAGGUAUUUUUGUCGAUUAAGCCCUUUUACUCGUUUUCACUCAAAACCGAGUAGCACAAGUUGUCUAACAUAAUUUAAAACCCCAUAUUCUAUCAUAAAACAUCAAAAUACACAAAUUUCACCUAUGGGUAUUUUUCAAAAUAUAAACCCUAGGUUGAAUUAUUGCUAACAUAAGCUUAAUCGAGCUACCGGGAUUCCAAAAACGUAAAGAACAUUAAAAACGGGGCUUGGAAUCACUUACUAUGGAGCUUGGAAGCUUGAAACAAACCCUAGCUAUGGAGAACCCUUGAAAUUUCGGCCUAAUGAAGAAGAUGGACAAAAAUUGGCUUUUAAUUUUGUUUUUAAUUCAUUUUAAUAACGAAAUGACCAAAAUACCCUUACUACUAAACUUUCCAAAAAUUCCUUCCAUGUCCUAAUUUUGUCCAUGAACUUAAAAUUGGUCAACUUGCUAUUUAAGACCUCUUCAUUAAUAUUCCAAAACAAUUUCAUACUAAAAACUUCUAGAAUGCAAGUUUUGCAACUUAUUCGAUUUAGUCCCUACUUUCAAUUUAAGCACUUUAGGCAUAGAAUUUCAUCACGAAAUUUUCACACAAUCAUGCAAUCAUAUCAUAAACAUCAAAAUAAUUGUAAAAUAAUUAUUUCUAUCUCGGAUUUGUGGUCACGAAACCACUAUUUUGAUUAAGCCCUAAUUCAGGAUAUUACAACUCUCCCCCCUUUUAAGGAUUUUCGUCCUCGAAAAUCUUACUGGUAAACAGGUGUGGGUAUUGGUUUUUCAUAGUUUCUUCAGGUUCCCAUGUAGUCUCUUCUACCCCAUGCUUUUGCCACAACACUUUCACAAGUGCUACACUUUUAUUUCUUAGUUGUUUGACUUCUCGAGCUAAAAUCUUAAUCGGUUCUUCUUCAUAAGUCAUAUCCGGUCGUAGUUUAACUUCUGUCGGUGAAAUUAUAUGUGAAGGAUCCAAACGAUACCGAUGUAACAUAGAUACAUGAAACACAUCAUGAAUCUUCUCUAAUUCAGGUGGUAACGCUAGCCGAUAUGCUACCGGUCCAACUUUUUCAAUUAUUUCAUACGGUCUAAUAAAACGCGGACUUAACUUGCCCUUUCGUCCAAAUCUAAGGACUUUCUUCCAUGGAGACACUUUCAAAAAUACCUUAUCACCAACUUGAAACUCCAUUUCUUUUCGUUUCAAAUCCGCAUAAGAUUUCUGUCUAUCUGAAGCAGCUUUCAAACAAUCUCAAAUUACUUUCAUCUUUUCUUCGGUUUCUUUUAUUAAAUCAACUCCAUAAAUCUGACUUUCCUUGAGUUCAGUCCAAUACAAUGGCGUCCGACAUUUACGACCAUAUAAUGCUUCAUAAGGUGCCAUCUUCAAACUUGUCUGAUAACUAUUAUUAUAAGCAAAUUCUACCAAUGGUAAGUACCCUUCCCAACUAUCUUGAAAUUCCAAUACGCAACAUCUGAGCAUGUCUUCAAGAAUCUAAAUUACUCUCUCUGAUUGUCCAUCAGUUUGUGGAUGAAAGGCAGUGCUGAAAUUUAACUUUGUACCUAAUGCUUCUUGCAACUUUUUCCAAAACCGUGAGGUAAACCUCAGAUCUCUAUCCGAAAUGAUUGACAAAGGUAUCCCAUGAAGUCUAACAAUCUCUCGGAUAUACAAUUCAGCCAACUUAUUAAGAGAAUAAUCUGUACGUACCGGAAUAAAAUGAGCCGAUUUAGUCAGUCUGUCAACUAUUGCCCAGAUGGCAUUUUUCUUCCCUAGAGUUAACGGCAAACCUGAUAUAAAAUCCAUAGUAAUCCGAUCCCAUUUCCAUUCAGGAACCAUAAUAGGCUGAAGUAAUCCCGAAGGUACUUGGUGUUCAGCUUUCACUUGUUGACAAACUAAGCACUUUGAUACAAACUCGGAAAUAUCUCUUUUCAUUCCACUCCACCAGUACAUUUUCUUCAAGUCAUUAUACACCUUCGUACUGCCCGGAUGAACUGCUAAACAACUAUUAUAUGCUUCAUGCAAAAUCUUUUGAAUCAACUCAUCAUUUUUCAGUACACAAAUUCAAUUUUUAAACAUCAAACAACCAUCAGAACCGAUUCUGAAAUUUGAUCCCAUAUCAGCUUCACACUGUUUUCUUUUGGCUAGCAAAUCUUGAUCAUUUUUUUGAGCUUCAGAAAUCUCUUGUAAAAACAUCGGUCUUGCUCUUAACUCUGCUAGAAUCGAACCGUCAUCUCACAUUUUCAACUGAGUGUUCAUAACUCUCAAAGCAAACAACAACUUUCUGCUUAAAGCAUCGGCAACCACAUUCGCUUUUCCCGGAUGAUAAUCGAUAACAAGCUCGUAAUCUUUCAAUAACUCUAACCAUCUUCGCUGUCUCAAAUUCAGGUCUUUUUGUGACAUCAAGUAUUUAAGACUUUUGUGAUCGGUAUAUACUCGGCACUUUUCACCAUACAAAUAAAGUCGCCAAAUCUUCAAAGCAAUCACCACAUCAGCCAAUUCCAAAUUGUGAGUAGGAUAAUUCCUCUCAUGAGGUUUUAACUGCCUCGAAGCAUAAGCCACCACUUUUCCUUCUUGCAUGAUUACACACCCCAAACCAUUUAGAGAAGCAUCACUAUACACCACAAAUUCUUUACCUGAUUCGGGUUGUAUCAACACUGGUGCUUCAGUUAAUAACUUUUUCAAUUCUUCGAAACUCUGUUGACAUUCUUCCGUCUAUUCAAAUUUAACAUCCUUUCGGAGUAGUCUAGUCAUAGGAGUAGCAAUUAUAGAAAAUCCAUUUACAAACCGCCGAUAAUACCUAGCUAGCCCUAAGAAAAUCCUAACUUCAGUUACAUUUUUCGGUGGUUUCCAAUCAACAAUGGCUGAAAUUUUACUAAGAUCAACCCGUAUACCAUCACCUGAAACAAUAUGACCCAAAAAUCCAACUUCCCAGAGCCAAAAUUCACUUUUACUAAACUUAGCAUACAGCUGCUUAUCUCUCAAAGUUUGUAAAACUAUCCUCAAAUGCUCAGCAUGCUCUGUCUCAUCUUUUGAAUAAAUUAAAAUAUCAUCUAUAAACACCACAACAAAUCUAUCCAGGUAUGGCCGAAAUAUGCGAUUCAUUAAGUCCAUAAACACAGCAGGAGCAUUUGUCAACCCGAACGGCAUAACUAAAAAUUCAUAAUGACCGUACCUUGUUCUAAAAGUAGUUUUAGGCACAUCUGACUCUUUUACUCGCAGCUGAUAAUACCCAGAUCUCAAGUCAAUCUUUGAAAACCAUGUCGCUCCUUUUAGCUGAUCAAACAAAUCAUCAAUUCUCGGCAACGGAUACUUGUUUUUGAUUGUCACCUUGUUUAACUGCCGAUAAUCAACACAUAAUCUCAUAGAACCAUCCUUCUUUUUCACAAAUAACACGGGAGCACCCCAAGGUGAAAAACUCAAUCUCACAAAGCCUUUAUCAGUCAACUCUUGCAACUGCGACUUUAAUUCUUUCAACUCUGUUGGUGCCAUUCUAUAUGGAGCAAUCGAGAUCGGAGCCGUUCCCAGUAUCAAAUCUAUACCAAAUUCUACUUCCUUGACUAGAGGCAAACCUGGUAAUUCUUCUGGAAAUACGUCCGCAAAUUCACACACAACCGGUACUGAUUCAACUUUCUUUUCAACUUCUUUUGUAUUAAUUACAUACGCCAAAUAAGCUUCAUAACCCUUUCUCAAAUAUCUCUGAGCCGACAUCGAAGAAAUCAUACUAGAUAAUGCCUCUGAUUUGUCUGGCUCAACCCGCAGAAUUUCACCACUUUCACAUUUUAAUUCUAUAACAUUUUCUUUGCAAUUUAUUAUAGCAUCAUGCAAUGUCAACCAAUCCAUACCCAAAAUAACAUCAAAUUCAUCAAACGGCAACAACAUCAAGUCGACCGGAAAGUAAUGACCCCGAAUCAUUAAAGGGCAUUUCUUACUUACUUUAUCAACUAUCACGCAUUUGCCUAGUGGAUUCGACACUCUAAUCAUAAAUUCUGUGUUCUCAAUAGGUAUAUUCAUACUAGACACCAGUUUCAUGCAUACAUAUGAAUGAGUAGAACCAGGAUCAAUCAAAGCAAUAACAUUAAUAUCAUAAAGAGAAAAUGUACCGGUAAUCACAUAGGGUGAGGAAGCAUCUUCACGCGCUUUAAUAGCAUAAGUUCUAGCUGGAGCUCUUCCCUCAGAUCUAACUGCUGCAUCUCUGGCUACAUUCUUACUGCUUGUUUCACUUCCAGCUUUUCUCGGAUGCCUUCCCCUCGAGUUUGCACCACUAACUUUUACACUCUGAAAUUUUUCUUUCUCAGCUCUCUCUGGGCAGUCUCUAAUAAAAUGAUCCGGAGAACCACAUCGAAAACAUUCAUUUGCUCUGCACGGACCAAAAUGAUUUCUACCACACCGCUCGCACUCGGGUUUAACAAAUCUCGUAUUUCCCACACUAGCCGCAGAAGUAGUCUGAGAUUUAGGACCCACAUUCUGCUUCUUAAAAUUUCCAUAUGAUUGCCCAGCUGAAACUUGGGAACGAGGAUUCAUAUUUCUUGACUUUCCGGUUUGUUGUGAGGGUGCAUUACUCAUUGGUCUUUUCUUCCAAUUUUGUGUUUCAGAUUCUACCUUUUUCUUUUCCUUCAGUAAUUCUUUAGCCUUGCAAGCUCGAUCAACCAGUACUACCAUUUCUUUCAGUUCAAGGAUCCCGACAAAUACCUUAAUGUCUUCAUUGAGCCCGUCUUCAAAUCGUCGGCACAUCUUGGCUUCUGUAGGAACAUAUUCCCUGGCAUACUUACUCAAUCGAACAAACUCUCUUUCAUAUUCUGAGACUGUCAUAUUACCUUGCUUUAGCUCAAGAAACUUUUUACAUUUCUGAUCAAUAAAUCUUUCACUAAUAUAUUUCUUCCGAAACUCUUCUUGAAAGAAUUCCUAGGUUACCCUCUCGUUCGGUACCACCGAAAUCAAAGUCUUCCACCAAUUAUAGGCUGAAUCUCUCAACAAAGAUGUAGCACAUUUCAAACAUUCUUCAGGUGUACAAGAUAAUUCAUCAAAUACCCGGACAGAAUUUUCAAGCCAGAACUCUGCUUUCUCUGCAUCAUCAUCAAUAUUUGCUCUAAAUUCU
rnacentral:lncRNA from 1 species